rnacentral:lncRNA from 1 species
AUACAUUAUAAAAUUUUAUUUUUUUCUAUUCAAAAAAAAUAGAAGAAGUAUAUGAAGACACAAGAGAAGAAGGUGUAGGAGCUAACGUUCUGUCAACACAAAAAAAAAAAAAAAAAUUGAUGAUUUAACUUUCUCACACGCUCAAAAAAUAUUUGACAACAUUCAAACGUUUAAAUACACAUAUGACAACAUUAGUAGAAGUACGCUUCAAAAGGCAAUAAGACGACUGUAUGGAAUUCCAAAUGAUGAUGAUAUUGUCGAAAAAGAAAAUGUGAAAGAAACAAAUAUAGAGAGAGUUAAACAAUUUAGUAAAUUUUAUUUUUACGUUCACAUAAAAAUAUACACAUGCAACUCUAAAGAUGUAGUAAUGAAAAGCGAAAAGUUUGAAAAUUUAACUGAAACUAAUAUUUAUCCUAAACAUUUAUAUUUUAAAAGAUAUAUUUAUUUACCAAUUCCAAUGGAGGACAAAUCUAAAAGCUUUUUUAAAAGACAUUAUUUUGAUUUUGAUAAAUUAGAAAAUUUAAAGAUUCAAAAUAAAAUGGAAAAUGAAAUACCAGAUGAGCAAACAAUUUUAUAUCAUAAAAGAAAAAUUUACUGUUGUAUGUUUUCGGAAAUGUUUAAAAGUAUAAUUAAGACACAUAUCAAGAAAUAUGUUACAGAACUUUUGAAUAUUAGCUCAUGUUCAAUACAAACGAUUGAUAAAAUUUUAAGUGAAGAUUUGAUUGAUGUUAUAAAAAGAAACAAAAAAGCGGAUGUAGUAAACAGCCCAAUAGAACAUAAUUAUUCAUUUUUAAAACCGACGAUUUUGUCCCAUUUUUUUUCAAGUAUUUUUUCAGAUGUUAUUAAAAAUCUUACAAAUGAAAAUGUUGUAUUUACUAAAAAAGCUUAAUUGGAAAUUUUGUACAAAUUAAAACUUAAACAAAUGCGUAAAUUAAUAAAAUAAUAAAAUAAUAAAAUUAUAAAAUAAUA